UUCGCCCUUAGAGUUUGAUCCUGGCUCAGGACGAACGCUGGCGGCGUGCCUAACACAUGCAAGUCGAGCGGAGAACAUUAAAAAACUUGCUUUGUGGGGUUUCUAGGAGCCGACGGGGGAGACAGGCGAGAAACAUCUGACUCACCCGCGGGGAUAACGGAAAUAACGUUGCUGUAAUACCGCAUCAGACCACAUAGCCACAUGACUCACGGGACAAAGGAGCAAUCCAGUUUGAGGUGAGCUUGCGUCCCAUUAGGUAGUUGGUGAGGUAACGGCCCACCAAGCUGACGAUGCGUAGCCGACCUGAGAGGGUGAUUGGCCACACUGGAACUGAGACACGGUCCAGACUCCUACGGGAGGCAGCAGUGGGGAAUAUUGGGCAAUGGGCGAAAGCCUGACCCAGCAACGCCGCGUGAGGGAAGAAGGUUCUCGGAUUGUAAACCUCUGUCCUAAGAGAAGAGGCGGAAGACGGUAUCUUAGGAGGAAGCCCCGGCUAACUACGUGCCAGCAGCCGCGGUAAUACGUAGGGGGCGAGCGUUGUCCGGAAUGAUUGGGCGUAAAGGGCGUGUAGGCGGUCAGGUAAGUCUGGAGUGAAAUUCCUGUUUUUAAGAUGGGAACUGCUUUGGAUACUGCUUGUCUUGAGUGCAGGAGAGGUUAUCGGAAUUCCCGGUGUAGCGGUGAAAUGCGUAGAGAUUGGGAGGAACACCAGUGGCGAAGGCGGGUAUCUGGACUACAACUGACGCUGAGGCGCGAAAGUGUGGGGAGCAAACAGGAUUAGAUACCCUGGUAGUCCACACCGUAAACGAUGAAUGUUAGGGGUAGGGGGUAUCGACCCCCUCUGUGCCGCAGUAAACACAAUAUGCAUUUCCCCUGGGGAGUGCGGGCGCAAGGGUGAAACUCAAAAGAAUUGAGGGGGGCCCGCACACGCAGCGGAGCAUGUGGUUUAAUUUGACGCAACGCGAAGAGCCCUUUCAGGUCUUGACAUCCAGUUAAGCUUGUAGAGAUACAUUGUGUCUUCGGACAUACUGAGACAGGUGGUGCAUGGUUGUUGUCGGCUGGUGUUGUGAGAAGAUGGGGUAAGUCCUCCAACGAGGGCAACCCUUGCUGAUAGUUAUUAACGUGUAAAGGUGAGGCCUUUAGUAGGACUGCCGGGGACAACUUGGAGGAAGGUGGGGAAGACGUCAAAUCAUCAUGCCCCUUAUGAUCUGGGCUACACACGUGCUACAAUGGCCGGUACAAAGGGAAGCGAUACCGCGAGGUGGAGCAGAUCUCAAAAAAACAGUCUCAGUUCGGAUUGUGGGCUGCAACCCGCCCACAUGAAGUCGGAGUUGCUAGUAAUCGCGGAUCAGCAUGCCGCGGUGAAUACGUUCCCGGGCCUUGCACUCACCGCCCGUCA
rnacentral:rRNA from 1 species